CUGCCCCUGGGCAGUGCCUCCAGGACUGACCAACCUGAGAAUGGUGUCUCCAGGUCAAUCUCAGGUUCGUCAGCCCGUGAGGUGCUGCCCCUUCCCCG
rnacentral:pre_miRNA from 13 species